CUCACUUUCUCGCCUCUCUUUCUUCUCUGCCGUUUCUUUCUUCUCUCAUUUCAUUGUGCUUCCACCAAACACAACACCAACGAUUUCGACUACGGCAUUCCCCAAUAGGUCUCCGAUGUUCAGAAGCUCCGGUCUCAAUACCAGCGGGAGCUUCUCCUUUCCCUCCAGAUCCAGUUAUGAUUAGAUCUGUUGUAAAGAUCCAAGACUGGGGCUCCAAGUUUAUGAAGGAGAUGGGGAACAAUCUGGGUUUUUCGAUAUGUGACUUUUUCUUACUAUCUGGGUUUUUGUUCUGGCAUUUGAUUCUUCCAACUCUAGUUGUCUUCAGGUUUUAACUUUCAAGUAAUAUUUUUGUUAAUUGCUAUUCAGGAAUGAUGCGGCUGGUGAUUGAAAAUUGUCAAAUCUGGGCCAUAGACCCAUAUCAAGGUGUUGAUGCCCAGCAGAGUAUAUCUACUCUGAGUUCAGACCGCACUGAGGCUUUUCUAAAACAAUCCAACUUGAAGUUAACCUUGCUACAGAUGAGUCGUCCAAGCUAAAACCCAAUGGACCUGGACUUCUUGAGGUUCUCAGUUCAUCAUCACCUUUGAAGCUAAUCAUAGUCUAUAUAGAAGUUGUGCCAGAGAUUACAAGCACCAGUUCGAACAGAAGAGGGAUCGACUUUUUUUUGUUUUUGUUUUUUGGGUCUUUUUAUUAUGUGGGUGGUUAUUGGUUUGCUCUUUUUUUGUUUUUAUUUGUUUUUUCUUAUAUAUCUAAGAGGCUCCAACGGCCUUAAUUCCUAA